AGUGAACGCUGGCGGUAGGCCUAACACAUGCAAGUCGAACGGCAGCACAGUAAGAGCUUGCUCUUACGGGUGGCGAGUGGCGGACGGGUGAGGAAUACAUCGGAAUCUACUUUUUCGUGGGGGAUAACGUAGGGAAACCUACGCUAAUACCGCAUAUGAUCCACGGGUGAAAGCAGGGGAUCUUCGGACCUUGUGCGAUUGAAUGAGCCGAUGUCGGAUUAGCUAGUUGGCGGGGUAAUGGCCCACCAUGGCGACGAUCCGUAGCUGGUCUGAGAGGAUGAUCGCCGACACUAGAGCGGAAACACGGUCCAGACUCCUGCGAGAGGGAGCAGAGUGGAAUAGUAGACAAUGGGCGCAAGCCUGAUCCAGCCAUCCCGCGUGGGUGAAGAAGGCCUUCGGGUUGUAAAGCCCUUUUGUUGGUAAAGAAAAGCAGCAGGUUGAGACCCCGCGGUUCUGACGGUACCCGAAGAAUAAGCACCGGCUAACUUCGUG
rnacentral:rRNA from 1 species